CAGUCGAACGGUGAAACGGAGCUUGCUCUGUGGGAUCAGUGGCGAACGGGUGAGUAACACGUGAGCAACCUGCCCCUGACUCUGGGAUAAGCGCUGGAAACGGCGUCUAAUACUGGAUAUGUGACGUGACCGCAUGGUCUGCGUUUGGAAAGAUUUUUCGGUUGGGGAUGGGCUCGCGGCCUAUCAGCUUGUUGGUGAGGUAAUGGCUCACCAAGGCGUCGACGGGUAGCCGGCCUGAGAGGGUGACCGGCCACACUGGGACUGAGACACGGCCCAGACUCCUACGGGAGGCAGCAGUGGGGAAUAUUGCACAAUGGGCGAAAGCCUGAUGCAGCAACGCCGCGUGAGGGAUGACGGCCUUCGGGUUGUAAACCUCUUUUAGCAGGGAAGAAGCGAAAGUGACGGUACCUGCAGAAAAAGCGCCGGCUAACUACGUGCCAGCAGCCGCGGUAAUACGUAGGGCGCAAGCGUUAUCCGGAAUUAUUGGGCGUAAAGAGCUCGUAGGCGGUUUGUCGCGUCUGCUGUGAAAUCCCGAGGCUCAACCUCGGGCCUGCAGUGGGUACGGGCAGACUAGAGUGCGGUAGGGGAGAUUGGAAUUCCUGGUGUAGCGGUGGAAUGCGCAGAUAUCAGGAGGAACACCGAUGGCGAAGGCAGAUCUCUGGGCCGUAACUGACGCUGAGGAGCGAAAGGGUGGGGAGCAAACAGGCUUAGAUACCCUGGUAGUCCACCCCGUAAACGUUGGGAACUAGUUGUGGGGUCCAUUCCACGGAUUCCGUGACGCAGCUAACGCAUUAAGUUCCCCGCCUGGGGAGUACGGCCGCAAGGCUAAAACUCAAAGGAAUUGACGGGGACCCGCACAAGCGGCGGAGCAUGCGGAUUAAUUCGAUGCAACGCGAAGAACCUUACCAAGGCUUGACAUAUACGAGAACGGGCCAGAAAUGGUCAACUCUUUGGACACUCGUAAACAGGUGGUGCAUGGUUGUCGUCAGCUCGUGUCGUGAGAUGUUGGGUUAAGUCCCGCAACGAGCGCAACCCUCGUUCUAUGUUGCCAGCACGUAAUGGUGGGAACUCAUGGGAUACUGCCGGGGUCAACUCGGAGGAAGGUGGGGAUGACGUCAAAUCAUCAUGCCCCUUAUGUCUUGGGCUUCACGCAUGCUACAAUGGCCGGUACAAAGGGCUGCAAUACCGUGAGGUGGAGCGAAUCCCAAAAAGCCGGUCCCAGUUCGGAUUGAGGUCUGCAACUCGACCUCAUGAAGUCGGAGUCGCUAGUAAUCGCAGAUCAGCAACGCUGCGGUGAAUACGUUCCCGGGUCUUGUACACACCGCCCGUCAAGUCAUGAAAGUCGGUAACACCUGAAGCCGGUGGCCUAACCCUUGGGAGGGAGCGUCGAAGG
rnacentral:rRNA from 1 species